rnacentral:rRNA from 1 species
UCGACCUGAGCUCAGGCAAGAUUACCCGCUGAACUUAAGCAUAUCAAUAAGCGGUGGAAAAG